rnacentral:rRNA from 1 species
GAUGAACGCUGGCGGUAUGCCUUACACAUGCAAGUCGAACGGAAAUUAGCUUCGGUUAAUUUUAGUGGCGGACGGGUGAGUAACACGUGAGAAUUCGCCUNUAGGAGGGGGAUAACGGAUGGAAACAUUCGCUAAAACCCCAUAUGCCCCUGGGUGAAACAGAGGAGAUAAGUAAUACUGACUCACCUCUGCCUGAAGAGAAGCUCGCGGCUGAUUAGCUAGUUGGUAGGGUAAAGGCCUACCAAGGCGACGAUCAGUAGCUGGUCUGAGAGGACGAUCAGCCACACUGGAACUGAGACACGGUCCAGACUCCUACGGGAGGCAGCAAUGAGGAAUUUUCUGCAAUGGGCGAAAGCCUGACAGAGCAAUACCGCGUGAGGGAUGAAGACUUACUGAGUUGUAAACCUCGGUACCUUAAGGAAGAAGAUCUGACGGUACUUAAGGUGGAAAGCAUCGGCUAACUCCGUGCC